CCUAGAAAUAGCGCACCAUUUGCCCCAGCCCGAGGGGUAGUCGCGUCGCGGGUAGUUUCAGAUCCCGAAACCGGCCAGGGACUUACUUUGAGGAGCCGCAGAGUCACAAGCAUUGCUCCACGUCUGCAAAUCCCUGAACCCGAGCGGGUCAGACGCCGCUGUCCUCGCAGACGCCGGCCGGAGGAACCGGCACGGCUGCCUGCGCUCCGCAGCGCCAACUCCGCGCUGUCAGCUCCUCUCGCUGCCUCCGCGGCGAUGUUGCAACCACUGCCUGGGAAAAUGGCUUUUUUAUGAAUGGGAGGGAAGGGAGCUCCAGUGCGCACGCGCGCCGUUGGCGAUUCUAUGAAUGGGUGGGCACAAGAGACCCCGUGCGCGCAUGCGCUGCGCUCCUUUUUUUAUGAAUGGGGGGCCGGAAAAGAACUUAACCCGUGAUUGCUGGGGCUGACUCUAGCUCUUCCAGGGGCCGUCGUUCUUUUACAAAGGGGGGUGGAGGUUGUUGUUGACUUUUUUUUUUUUAUGAAUGGAGGGCGGCGGCGACUGCAGCAGCUGGCUCAGCUGCGCGGGCUGUACCCCCUCCCAGCCUGCGAGAGGAGCUUUCCUGAAGGAGGAGAUGAGCAGACCCUGGGCUUGGUGGGAUGGUGGAAUGAUGGAGGAGCCCCCAGUCCUGAGCUGGCAGGAGCCUCUGAUGCCCAGGUACAACUGCUCUGCUAGAGGCAAAACCCUAACAACUGCGUUCCUGCCCGUGCUAACGACAGUCCUUUCACCGAGCCUCACUAUUCCAUUUCUCAGCUUCUGGAACAACAAGAGACACACAGGGAAGUCAGAACCUUUGAAGGCCAAUGCCACUCCCUUCACCCACCUCCACCACGAAGUAGCACUUUUGGGAAUUCUUCCAUCUCAGAAGAGCUUUGUCAUCUCUUACAUCAGUUGGAGCUGGCAGCUCUCAAAUCCAUCUUCUGCACCCCAGAAGUUCCGUGGGACACUCCCUGACUGAAGGGGGGGCAGCUGACCAGGUAAGAGACCGCCACUGAAACGGCACGCUGAGGAGAAAGUAACUGUGGAAGAGCGAUGGCACUAUUAACACCAGCUGGGACAAUCUGCAAAGAUGGCAUUGCCCAGAGUCUACCCUGGAUAGAAUUCCCAGGGCCUGGGGUAGUCUUUUAUGCUCCCCCUUUUAAUAGUUAUUUUUCUUUGUAAAUAGAAGUACCUUUAUCUUAAAAAAUUAAUACAUGAUUGUUGUCAACUUAAAUAAUAUGGAGAUUAAUACAGAAAAAGUAAAAGUAUACCAUUCAUACAUUACACACUUCCACUGUGUCCUGCCGUGCAUCUGCCCAGUCAUCACUGGACCAGUUUGGAGUCUGUCCUUCCAGAUGGUUUUGCUGGUUUCCUCUGUGUGUGUGUGGUGUUUACAUAAAUAUCAGUGAGAAGAUCCUAUCCUGUAUAUCCUGGUAUAUCACAGGCAUCUUCCUAGUCAAUCCAUAUGGCUCUCUUCUCCUUUUUAACAGCAGCACAGUAUUCCUCUGUAAGAAUGGACCAUCUUCCGUUUUUUCCAAUCUCUCUUUUAAUAGACUUUUUACUUCCCUUGGGAACGUGUCUCAGUUCCCAAUGACCACGCCCUCCUCUGGGUCCUGCCUCGGGGAACUGCACAAAUGGGAAGGUGGUCAAAGGGUGAAAAGGGCAGUGGUGGGCCCAUAUGGGAGAGUGUGGGGAUGGGUGAGUGUAUUCUAUCCUGGCCAUACUGGGAUACACAGGAAGUUUUUCUCUUUCUGGCUAAGGCAAAACCGUGCAUUUUAUGGGAANAGUGUAUUCUAUCCUGGCCAUACUGGGAUACACAGGAAGUUUUUCUCUUUCCGCCUCGCUCUGCCAAAUGGUUCCUCUGUCUGGCUAAGGCAAAACCGUGCAUUUUAUGGGAAUCAUCUUUGAAAGCGACCAAGAAGAUCAAUGUGGAGAAACAUAAAAGGCUGUUUUCUUAGAGUUACCCUCUAUCAUCUGCG
rnacentral:lncRNA from 1 species